rnacentral:misc_RNA from 1 species
GAUGAAGAACGUAGCGAAAUGCGAUAAGUAAUGCGAAUUGCAGAAUUCCAGUGAGUCAUCGAAUCUUUGAACGCACAUUGCGCCCUUUGGUAUUCCGAAGGGCAUGCCUGUCCGAGCGUCAUUUCAACCCUCAAGCACUGCUUGGCGUUGGCGGAUUGCGUGCCCUCGCGGCGCUGCAACCGCCCAAAUACAGUGGCGGUCCCGCUGCGGCUCCCUUUGCGUAGUAACUCACCUCGCACUGGACCGGGCGGCGGCCUGCCGUAAAACCCCAACUCACGAAAUGUUGACCUCGGAUCAGGUAGGAAUACCCGCUGAACUUAAGCAUAUCAAUAAGCGGAGGA